CAGGUCACCGAGCCGAAUGGACGGACAGACCCACAAUGCAUUUCGCGAGCACCCCAUGCCAAUUAAAUGAGAUCCGUCGACGGACGGAGGUAGUCUAUUAGCCCGAGAGAGGCUAGUCGCCACGCACAUCAAGCCCUGCCUCCCACCAUCAUUCGACCCUCACCAGUUUGCCUACAGGGCAAACCGCUCCACUGAGGAUGCUAUUGCCAUCGGCCACCACUCAACACUGAGCCACCUCGAACACUCAGGUGGAGAUGAGACGCAGUAUAGAGAAGAGGUCCAGCAGCUGUCUACAUGGUGUGCCUCCAACAACCUGCUACUGAACACAAGAAAAACCAGGGAGAUCAUUAUAGGCUUCAGACGCAACAGUCCAGCCCCUGUAACACUCCACCUGAACGGCAAAUGCGUGGAGAGGGUUCAAUCAUACCUCAGAAGAAAUCUCAUGGCCCACAAACACAAAAGCAAUAACAAAGAAGGCCCAGCAGCGACUACACUUCUUGAGAAUUCUCAUUAAAAUCCACCUCGAACAGAAGCUGCUGGUGUCCUUCUAACAGAAGUCAUUCAUUAAAGCUUACUCACUUAUUGAAUCACGUAUGCAGGGAGUACGGAGGCAGACAGGAGGAUUCUGCAGAGGGUCAUAGGCAGAGCCCAGAAGAUCGUAGGCUGCCCUCUGCCCUCCCUGGAAGAGAUUGCUAACUGCCUAAAUAGGAACAGAUCCAUCCUCAAAGACGCUGCCCACCCUGCUCACUACCUGUUUAACCUGCUUCCCUCUGGUAGGCGCUAGAGGUCGAUGAAAGCACACACCACCAGACUAACAAACAGUUUUUACCCCUGGGCUAAAAGAUCAUUUAACCAACAGUAGUCAAUACUGCCCACAUCCCACAUCUCCGUCCCCCCGGGAUGAAGAAUCACACUACCUCUGAACAUUAUUUUUCUAAUAGGAUGUAACCUGCUGCUAUUUUAAACAUUUGUGCAUUUGUGUGCAGGAGGGUUUGUUUUGUCAGGGAGGGAUGGGUAGAUGUUAGACAGUCUAUGUCUGUGUCCCGCGUUGCAUACCCUGUAUGAAUUUUAAUUUUAAUGAUUUUUUUUAUCAUUAUUGUGUAGUGCAUUAGCAUGCCCAUUCCAUCCUGACAUCAUUGCUCCAAAAUAUUUCAGGGUUUUGAGAAAACAGUUAAUUUACAAAAGGUACUCUUAGUUCAUCAUAGAAGGGACAGUAUU
ensembl:lncRNA